AUUGAACGCUGGCGGCAGGCCUAACACAUGCAAGUCGAGCGGAGGGGCGGACGGGUGCGUAAUGCCUAGGAAUCUGACUGGUCGUGGGGGAUAACGGUCAGUAACGGGCGCUACUACUGCAUACUCUAAGAUGCGGCUCGGCCGGCUUAGCUAGUUGGUGGGGUAAGGGCCUAACAAGGCGACGGACCGUAACUGGUCUGAGAGGAUGAUCAGUCACACUGGAACUGAGACACGGUCCAGACUCCUACGGGAGGCAGCAGUGGGGAAUAUUGCACAAUGGGCGAAAGCCUGAUCCAGCCAUGCCGCGUGUAUGAAGAAGGUCUUCGGAUUGUAAAGCACUUUAAGUUGGGAGGCGUUACCAACAGAAUAAGCACCGGCUAACUUCGUGCCAGCAGCCGCGGUAAUAC
rnacentral:rRNA from 1 species